CCUUGAAAUACCACCCUUGUACGUUUGAUGUUCUAACGUUGACCCCUAAUCGGGGUUGCGGACAGUGCCUGGUGGGUAGUUUGACUGGGGCGGUCUCCUCCCAAAGAGUAACGGAGGAGCACGAAGGUUGGCUAAUCCUGGUCGGACAUCAGGAGGUUAGUGCAAUGGCAUAAGCCAGCUUAACUGCGAGACAGACACGUCGAGCAGGUACGAAAGUAGGUCAUAGUGAUCCGGUGGUUCUGUAUGGAAGGGCCAUCGCUCAACGGAUAAAAGGUACUCCGGGGAUAACAGGCUGAUACCGCCCAAGAGUUCAUAUCGACGGCGGUGUUUGGCACCUCGAUGUCGGCUCAUCACAUCCUGGGGCUGAAGUCGGUCCCAAGGGUAUGGCUGUUCGCCAUUUAAAGUGGUACGCGAGCUGGGUUUAGAACGUCGUGAGACAGUUCGGUCCCUAUCUGGUGUGGGCGUUGGAUGAUUGAGGGGAGCUGCUCCUAGUACGAGAGGACCGGAGUGGACGAACCGCUGGUGUUCGGGUUGUUAUGCCAAUAGCAUUGCCCGGUAGCUACGUUCGGAAUCGAUAACCGCUGAAAGCAUCUAAGCGGGAAGCGAGCCCCAAGAUGAGUCAUCCCUGGCAGUUUAACUGUCCUAAAGGGUUGUUGAAGACUACGACGUUGAUAGGCAGGAUGUGGAAGCGUUGCAAGGCGUUAAGCUAACCUGUACUAAUUGCCCGUGAGGCUUAACCAU
rnacentral:rRNA from 1 species